rnacentral:rRNA from 1 species
CCUAAUACAUGCACGUAGAACGCUGAAGAGAGGAGCUUGCUCUUCUUGGAUGAGUUGCGAACGGGUGAGUAACGCGUAGGUAACCUGCCUUGUAGCGGGGGAUAACUAUUGGAAACGAUAGCUAAUACCGCAUAACAAUGGAUGACACAUGUCAUUUAUUUGAAAGGGGCAAUUGCUCCACUACAAGAUGGACCUGCGUUGUAUUAGCUAGUAGGUGAGGUAAUGGCUCACCUAGGCGACGAUACAUAGCCGACCUGAGAGGGUGAUCGGCCACACUGGGACUGAGACACGGCCCAGACUCCUACGGGACGCAGCAGUAGGGAAUCUUCGGCAAUGGGGGCAACCCUGGCCGAGCAACGCCGCGUGAGUGAAGAAGGUCC